rfam:Aspergillus zonatus CBS 506.65 unplaced genomic scaffold ASPZOscaffold_195, whole genome shotgun sequence.
AAUAUUUUGAGUUUGAUGAUGACUCUGAUUGAACGCUGUCCAAGUACUUGACACAUGCUAAUUGAACGACUAAUUAGUUCAAAAGACUAAGUAGUAGUAGUGUACAGGUGAGUAUAGAUGGAUUGACUACCUCAAAGUAAGGGAUAGAUCCCUUAUAAAAAAAAAGAAAAGAUAAUAAAAGUCUGCUUUGGGAUGAUAAUCUUCAUCGCGGAGAAGUAGUGGAAAAGGUAAUAACUUUUGUAGCUAGAAUCCGUAGUCGUGGCUGAAAGGUUGAACGACCACAUUGGAUCUGAGAAAACUCCAAUGCAUAUAAGUACAGCAGUGAGGAAUAUUGGUCAAUGGCCGCAAGGCUGAACCAGUAACUUGGAUGAAUGAAUAAUUGUAUAAUAAUACAAUAACGAUUAAAUCGUAUAAAGUUCUAAAUUGGAAAAAUAAGAUAAUGACCAUUUCCAAAUUUAUAAGUCUUGACCAAAUUACGUGCCAGCAGUCGCGGUAAUACGUAGAAGACUAGUGUUAAUCAUUAUUAUUAGGUUUAAAGGGUACGUAGACUGUAAAUAAGCUAAGAGGACAAUUAGUACUUAUUUUCUAGAGUAUUAUAUGGGAAGGGAGUACUUCUGGUGUAGAGAUAGAAUUCUUAAAAUCUGGAAGGACAGAUAAGGGCGUAGGCAUCCUUCUGUGUAAUUACUGACGUUGAGGUACGAAGGCUUGGGUCGCAAUUAGGAUUAGAUACCCUAGUAGUCCAUGCAGACAAUGAUGAAUGCCCUAGAUUAGAUAAAAAUUUAGUCUAGACGUGAAAAUUUAAGCAUUCCACCUCAAGAGUACUAUGGCAACAUAUAAACUGAAAUCAUUAGACCGUUUCUGAAACCAGUAGUGAAGUAUGUUAUUUAAUUCGAUGAUCCACGAAAAACCUUACCACGGUUUGAAUAACAUUUAAUUAUGUUACAAGCGCUGCACGGCUGUCUUUAGUUAAUGUCGUGAGAUUUGGUUAACUCCUUUAAUUAACGAAAACCCUCACUUUAUUUAUAUAUAUAAAGUGGUUCGCCUCUACAUUGGUAUAGAUAAUAGGGAUUAAGACAAGUCAUCAUGGCCUAUAUGCUGUGGGCUAUAGACGUGCCACAUAUGCCUUUACAAAGGGAUGCAAAUUUGUGAAUUGGAGCUAAUCCCCCAAAAAUGGAUAAAAUAUGGAUUGUUGUCUGUAACUCGACAACAUGAAUAAGGAAUUACUAGUAAUCGUGAAUCACCAACGUCGCGGUGAAUCUUUUCUCGGCUAGGUACUAACCACUCGUCAGGCGCUGAAAGAUGUUUGUACAGUAAGUUUGAUUUAUUUAUGGUUUAGUGUGUAUACAACUUGGUAUGCAUGUACAUAAAUUUAUUUUCGCGUGUGCAACUUUGAUUGGUGUUAAGUCGAAAUAUGGUUCGUGUAAUGGAAAUUGCACGGGAUGAAUAAAAUUU